ensembl:lncRNA
CGGAAUCCUGCUCACGGCGGUCUAACAGUCUGACCUGCAGUGAGUCUCUGUGAAGUUAAGGUGACUCACUGUCCAACCCUCUGAUACUCACACACGCACACACACCAAACCACUAACGCAUAUAAGGGCGCUCAAAAACACACACCGCAACGCCCUCUCUCCAUCCGUUUCUCUUGCUCUAACCACAGCUACUUCCUCGGUAAAACUGUUGGCUGAGGGGGGCAGGUGGUUAGUAUGAUUACACUCACACAACAAAACAUCCACAGAUGCAUGCUUACUACAAAGCGGAAGUGCCAGAUUAAUGCAAGAGUAAAUCAAUCUCUCCUGAGUGGCGCUCAAUGUCGGGGAAAGAAACUACUCCGGAGACAAAAAGUCAUCGACAAGGGAUUCAGAGAAGCACAUACCAAAACUGAAGAGAGAGGCAGAGUCACAAAGAGAUAAAGGAAGAUGUGGACGGUGACAGAGAGGAAGAGCGGAAGCAGAGAAGAAGUGUAAGCAAGUGAAGAGAGAGGAAGAGACGUCAAGUGGAUGUAGAAAGACGGAGAGAGUUUGGUGGAUUACUUUGCAUCUGAGUGACUGGUCGACUACAAACCCAAUUUUCUUACCACCUACCCAGGACCGUGACACCUCGGCUCGGCUUUUGUAAGAAGGGUGGAGAGGAAGAAAUUGUUUCAUGGCCUCCAACAGUAUCUUUGAGCCACGUUCAUCCUACCAGUCAGCUUUCAGACGAGCGCCUCUCUCCCUCCCCCCCGCCUCCGUCAGCUGCAGCAGGAAGACAGAGCUUCAAUAAAGAUCCUUCAUUUCCUCUCCUCUUUUCUUCAUCGCUCCUCCUCCCACUCUCUCACUUCCUUCCGACCGACCUCCUCAAUCGCUUAAAUGUAAUAUCCACCAAAAUAUCUGAAUGGCUGCUGAACUUCGUCUUGUAAGACUGCACAGAUAUAGUUUCUCAAGUGAAGCCAUUUCCUCUUUUUUUCUGAUGCUUGAUGUAUUUUUUCCCCACAAAUAAUGCAGUGGUGCCAGCAUACUCCACAAUCUCAGGCAUCAAGGUAGAGCCGGGUGCAUGCCGCCUGGGUGGCUGCACAUGUAUGUGUGUGUUGCAAGGCCUGGCAGUCAGUGGUCAUGUCAAGGUUGGCAGUGGGAUAAGGCUUACAGAGACAAACCUCUCAUUUUUUCUUGCAGUUUCACUACAUUGCUGUAUGUCGAGAUUGUUGGUUUGGAAAGAUGUCGUCAGGCAUCUCUAUUUUUGGUCGCCCUCUUUGCUUCGCUACACUUCCCCGUUGACUCUAACCUCCUCCGAAGUCUGAAGAAACCGCCAACAGCGAAGAGCCAUCCAACGAUUGAUGGGGCCUCUGAUCAUCCAAAGCUUUGCCAUGUUUCCCACCCGUUUUACUGCAAACCGCACUGGUUCCCCUCAGUCUUAAUGGGCGAGAGCGUGUGUGUAAAGUCUGGUGGGACGGGUGUCCCGUGCGAGGCGUGCGAGGUCCCUUCAGUCCUGUGGUUAACGAAGAAGUCAUGCAGAGUCGCCUCACCCCUUUCUCACUCCUCCUCACCCCUUUUCUUCCCACCCAUCUCCAUUUGUCCCCACAUUGUGGUUAACAAGUGAAUGCAAAGUGUUGCCUUAAUGUGUGUGUAUGUGUGGCCCGUACCCAUUAGCGACCUCCUAUUUGGUAUUGUAAAUUCCGCCCAGCGACUUAGCCUUCUGAUUUAUUCAUUGGCUCGUUUGGGACUCUGUGUGUCCCCGUGUGUUCGGGUUCAGGCUGUCUGAUUGGAUCUUUUGCCUGGUUCCUUCCACUUUGAUGAUCCACCCUUUUGUUUUAUAGAAUCUGCCCGGUUACUUAGCAUGCAAACGUGUGCACAUGCACCCGUGCACACUACAAGGAGCAUAAAGUAACGAAGGCCAAAAAGGUGUGAAUGACAGUCAGAAAGGGUCUAUGCGAACAGCCAUUGAUUUCUAUGGAUACUGGUGCAUCAAGGUGUUUCCUCAGUAUCUACAGUGUUAGUAAAGAGCAGGGUUCUCGAAAUGAACAUUUCAUUCCAAGAACUGGUCCCACAGUCGGGUGGACAACCGUGGCAACAGUCUGUUUUAAGGAGGGGUGAAGCUUUGAGUUCAUUCCCAGCUCACCAGCGCUGUAACUACAAUCACACAAUCAAUCAAUUCGGGGAUAAGUAUCUUGACCGAGGAUGUUGACCAUGAUUUGAAAUGUAUUUUUCGUUCUGAAGAAUAUAAAGCCCCAAAGUACUGGGAAAAAUCAACUCAAAUCACGCCAAAACAUCAAUUUGGGUAAACCGUAUCAACCAUUGUGUUUCAUCGAAGAACAGUUUCAUUAUUUAGUUUACAGCUCAAAUACACCUGCUCAGUCCCGUUAAUGAACAUAACAUUUACCAUACUGACUAUAUGCAUCUCGAGUCUUAAUUCGCUGAUGUUCUCUCCAGCCCCUGCCGCCUAUGGGGUCUCCUCCUCAGUCCUCUCAUCCCUCCCCACUGCUGCCCUGUGUACGUACACACAUACUGCGAACAUAACACUAUGCUCAAGAAGGUCACUCAUUUCAUCAGGGUCAGGGUCAGGAGAGGGUUGCCUUCAAUAACCUUUCCAAAUAAAAUCCCCACAGCCACGCAGUGACUGGCCAGGUGUUGAAAUGGUAAAUGGACUGUACUUGUAUAGCGCUUUUCUAGUCUUCUGACCACUCAAAGCGCUUUAACACUACAUGACAUCAUUCACCCAUUCACACCCAUUCAUACACAUUCAUACACUGAUGACAGGAGAACCAUACACUGUGACACCUGCCAUCAGUAACUACCAUUCACACACUGUAGUCGCAGCUACAGGAGCAAUGUUGGGUUAAGUGUCGUGCCCAAGGACACAUCGACAUACAGGUUAGCAGAGCCUGGGAUCGACCCGACAACCUUCUGAUUGGAGGACGACCGUGCUCCCCACUCACCCACAGUCGCCCUAAUGAGUGAGUAGAUCAGAUCAGCAUGGACUACCCGACACAAUGCAUCUCAAUUCAACUGUUGAUCCUCCUGCUCUUGGGGCGUUGCAACAGAAGGUCUUCUUUUCCAUAGAAAUCCAGCUGUUUGGUUCACUUCCAAAGUCCAAACACAAAAAAUAUAUGAUGUCAUCUGGGACACAAUGAGGCGUUGCAACAAUCAUUCUUGGUGGCCCUUAAAACAUCUAAAGUGUUUGGGUUUAGACAGGAGGACAAAAGAAGAAGGGAGGACGUGGGGGUCAUUUUGAAAUUUGGGAGGGGUUGGAAUGAAUUUGAAGGUGGUGGUUAAGCUGUGUUCUUUAAAGGUAAGGCUACUUGCACCAUAAUUGUUAAAACAGCAUCCAAUGCUGAGAACCGCGAUGUAAGCAUUUAGCUCACAGCGCCACUGUGCCUCAAAGAGCUGCUAGCUUGGCCGUUGAAUUUGGUCGUUGAAUUUUGAGAAGUAGAGUCAUUUUCUCAUGGACUUAUGAUCAGAGGAGUUGCCCUGGUGAAAACGAGAAAGGAUGCAGCUUUAACACAUACAGCGUUGACUCUUCAGAACCCGAUGUUGCCUCCUGGUAUCUACAUUUAGGUGAGCCCAUCUUCCUCUCAGGCUUGCUUCUGUUGGCUUCUCAUGAUCACUGCAAACUGAAGUAACCGUAUGUAUUAUAUUUUAUGUCCUAUUUACUGGUCCUGGGACCAUUCAAAGACACGUUUAUUUUCCUUUUAUCAGUCCACAACCUUUUUUUAUGUAAAAGCCAGAUGGGAGAUGUCACUUCAUCUACCUCUGUCUACUUAGCACACGGGAUGGACAGAACUGGACGUCCACACAGUACAUGUUUGUGAUCAGUUCUGACGUCAGUGUUCACUGUCCAGCUAACAGUGUCUGUGUGUGUGUCUCCGUCUGUGUGUGUGUGUGUGUGUGUGUGUGUGUGUGUGUGUGUGUGUGCGUGUGUGUGUGUGAGAGAGAGUUAAAUGUUUCUGCUCUAAUGCACCUGCUUAGCCAUUCAAACUGCACUAAACACAGCCUGAGGCUCUUCUGUCGUCCUCUCUUUAUCCGUCAUCCUGUCUCUCUGCCUCAUCUUGCCUCUCUCUCUCUCUCUCAACACACUGCUCACUUUUGUCUAUUUUCAUUUCUACGUUUCUACGUUGGAAGAACUAACAUUAAAUAGCUUUGACUGUGUGCAUGGUUACAUAGGUGCUCUCUCUCUCUCUCACUCUCUGCCUGUCUCCAUCUCUCUCUCCUUCUCUUUCUGUCUCUUUCUCUCUGUCAUUUCUUGUGUCAGAAAAUCAAUUUUUAGUUUAGCAGGAAUAAGCCCAUCUCCUCUCAUCACAGAGACCGGUUGAAUAAUUCAGCACACACACACACAAGAACUAAUGCUGUAAACAGGUGCCAUGCAACCGCCUCUCAAGCUCCGUGCAGCCAGACUAAAAGUUGUAGAUGCUUUCUCUGGUGAAGUUUAAGUUUUUAAAGAGAACCUGCAGCCAAUCAGAGGACAGGCGUGGGACUCCUGCUGACCUGUGUCGCGAAAUGUCUUCCUAGCUGAAAAACAUGGACACGCCUGCUCACUGCUGUCUGGUUUCUUGUCAGUGUUUGAAUUUACACUGACAGGAUGUUACACCUCAGUAGUACUGCAGAUUCAGAGUGAGAAGUGGCACACCCAAGUGCACUAACAUGCACAAUCUAAAGGCAAGCGUGAACACAGGAGAAGCUCUGCUAACGGCACACAAGACUUCUCUCUGCUCAGGAAACCAUUACUUCUCCAUAUCUACACAUAGAGGAUGUUUGGUGAUAUAUUAAUGCUCUGAAUGUACCUUUAAUAUGUAGCUUUGAACAAACAUCUGAGUGUAUCAGGGUGCUUUUCACUGCUUGUGGAGCAAAUGUUUAGCUGUAGGGCUUCAGUCCUGGUUAGCAGGGUGGAUCUCUACCUAUUGGUCAAAUAUUAGACACGGCUACUUCCUGUUUACGGAGCAAGGAUCAAUGAGACCAACUUUUACUUGAAUGUUUAUCGAUGUUAAAAUUAAAUGGUAUGUUGGCUUCACGGCUAAUUUGACAGACGGGAGGUUGAUCUGUUUAUGUGUGUGUGUGUGUGUGUGUGUGUGUGUGUGUGUGUGUGUGUGUGUGUGUGUGUGUGUGUGUGUGUGUGUGUGUGUGUGUGUGUGUGUGGACAGACAAAUUGAGAGAUCAACAGAAUGAGAAACUUAUUUUGAAUCCAUGAUGUUCCUUUAUCCUCACAGUUCUUCUUCAGGACAUUGGAUGUCUCCUUAAUGUAAAAGUGAUGAUCCGUUACCCAUGGUGACCUCUGCUGACCUUUAGUGACAAUCACCCUUUCACUACUUCCUCCAUCUGCCGCUAGAAGGACUGAAAGCUUUACGGCUCCCCCCCCUUCACGGUAAAUGCCAUAAAGCAACAGCCCUCUGUGCCAUAAAGUAAUCAAGCAGGCUGAGUGGCACCAUGCAGGGAAGAGUGUGGUAAAAACACACAAAUCAAUGUAUAAUGACAUAAAUACUGACACAAACUGAUGUUUUGUCUUUGCAAAUGAAGCAUUUUACGUAUGUACAAUAUUAACAAUAAACACUUUAUUUAGAAGACCUGUGUUGUGUAUGUGUGUGUGUGUGUGUGUUGUAUACAACAGUGUUCAGUGUGUGUGUUCGUAUGCAUGUGGGACAGCAUGAAUAUUAGUGUGUUUCGUCAGCGUGCGAGCCCACGUUGUUGCGCAAGUCUACAUUCUAUUCUGUGUGUGUAGGUGUGUGUGUGUGUGUGUGUGUGUGUGUGUGUGUGUUUGUGUGUGUGUGUGCGUGUGUAUGUGUGAGUGUGUGUCAUUUGGUGCUGCUGCUAACUGAUAUGUCAGAAAAUCAAUUAAUUACUUUUAAGCGGCAGCUAACUGCAUCCCCGCAAUACACCCCAUGAAUUAUAGACGAAGUAUGUGUGUGUGUGUGUGUGUGUGUGUGUGUGUGUGUAUGUGUGUGUGUGUGUGUGUGUGUGUGUGUGUGUGUGGUACAAUCGGUUGCUCUGUUAACUAGAGACAAUUGCUAACUUCUCCGUCAUUGAUCAACUGAUGAGAGUGCUCCGAUACAAAUCUACUGAGCUCUGAAGUGUCUGAACUGGCUCAUCAAUGUUUGCUUCUAUGGUGUGUGUGUGUGUGUGUGUCUGUGUGUGUGUGUGUGUGUGUGUGUGUGUGUGUGUGUGUGUGUCUGUGUCUGUGUGUGUGUGUGUGUGUAAUUCAAAAUAAGAACAAGGAAACCCUUUACACUUUCGUUGAUAUUAAAUUACAUUGACUAUAUGCCACAUUUGACUACAAGUCUUUUGUUAUAAAUUAUGAUUACCAUCAUAAAAAGCUCUUAAAAAUCAUGAAACUAUAAAAAUGUUGAUAUCACAUUGAAAACCACAAUUAAUGAAAGUUAAUUUGAGUAAAUUAGGGGAACCCUUAAAUAUGAGAGACCACAACCGUUGACACAAUGAGCCAGAUGAUACAGAUAUUAGUCAAAUCAACCCUUUCAUUGCAAAUUCCUUGAAAUGUGUUAAUACUGGGAUUAAUCUAAGGAAUAAUGUAAAUUGUUACAGGUUAAUUGAGGUAAAUUGAUUUUUUUCAAAAUUGCGUAAUUUGUCUUUACCAUUACAGUAUUCUAUUACCUGAUGAAUUCCAUAACUUUCCUGUUGCCCUGACAUCCGUACAAUUCAUUAGUAAAAAUUAGUUAGUAAAAAUGUGUGAAUCCCCCUUCAAAGGCCAUUCAUUUUAGGGCUGUAGUGAUGUGAUUUGAAUACAUUUAUACUUUUAUAAUUUUAUUAUCUGAAUUCCCGGGUCCUCCUCCCAGAAGGAUCCAAGUGGUCUGUGCAGGGUUUCUUUGGUGCUGACCCACAGCACGCAUGGAGUCACAACCGGCAGGUUAUAAGAUCAGACUCCAUCCAUCACACUGCACCUCACAAUAAAAAAGUUAAAUAUCAUAAUAUCAUAAAAAGAAUAUCAUCACAGACACUCAGUUCAUAAUGCUGUGAACACUGCAAUAAUCCCGUCAUUCCCCCUGUGUUACCUCAUUUAGGGAACAGACAGCACCUCAACUGACUUUUAUUGAAAUUAAUAAUCUUAAGGAUAUAUGUUCAUAAAAAGUGUGAAAGAAAGAUGCUGAUGAUAAAGCGGAGAUUAGCACAGAGGAGGACCUCUUUUCCCCAGACUCACCCCAUCCCUCCAUCGAUCCCCUCGCUCAGGGUGGCAGCGUUGUGUGCGGGUGUGUGUGCUAUUGAUCCGUACCGUGCCACUGUCACUGGCCUCAGGGUGGCCUCAGCUCAGGGACGACAGGGACAGACAGCCGCUGGCAGAGAGGGGGGGGGGGGG